AAAGAGAGUUGAUACAAUUUUAAGCCGCUAACUUAACAAUUUAUGAGUUAAAUUCUCAUUUCUUUUUU
rnacentral:tRNA from 1 species